UACGUAGGGUGCGAGCGUUAAUCGGAAUUACUGGGCGUAAAGCGUGCGCAGGCGGUUUUGUAAGUCAGAUGUGAAAUCCCCGGGCUUAACCUGGGAAUGGCAUUUGGGACUGCAAGGCUUGAGUGCGGCAGAGGAGACUGGAAUUCCUGGUGUAGCAGUGAAAUGCGUAGAUAUCAGGAGGAAUACCGAUGGCGAAGGCAGGUCUCUGGACAGUUCCUGACACUGAGGAGCGAAAGCCAGGGGAGCAAACGGG
rnacentral:rRNA from 1 species